rnacentral:rRNA from 1 species
UACGUAGGGUGCAAGCGUUAUCCGGAAUUAUUGGGCGUAAAGAGCUCGUAGGCGGUUUGUCGCGUCUGCUGUGAAAACCGGAGGCUCAACCUCCGGCCUGCAGUGGGUACGGGCAGACUAGAGUGCGGUAGGGGAGAUUGGAAUUCCUGGUGUAGCGGUGGAGUGCGCAGAUAUCAGGAGGAACACCGAUGGCGAAGGCAGAUCUCUGGGCCGUAACUGACGCUGAGGAGCGAAAGCAUGGGGAGCGAACAGG